UACGGGGGGGGCAAGCGUUGUUCGGAAUUACUGGGCGUAAAGGGCCCGUAGGCGGCCAACUAAGUCAGACGUGAAAUCCCUCGGCUUAACCGGGGAACUGCGUCUGAUACUGGAUGGCUAGAGGUUGGGAGAGGGAUGCGGAAUUCCAGGUGUAGCGGUGAAAUGCGUAGAUAUCUGGAGGAACACCUGAGGUGAAGACGGGUUGCUGGGCCGACACUGACGCUGAGUGCGCGAAAGCCAGGGGAGCAAACGGG
rnacentral:rRNA from 1 species